CCCAGCAGUGUUGCCAAGUACGUUGAUUAUAAGCGACUUUGGGCUUGUUUUUCUGUUAAGUCGCUUACAAAUAUUGAUAGUCGCGGGUCGCGUUUGUUUUGGGCUUUUUUCUAAAGUGUAGUUGCUUAUUUGGGCUUGUUCCCAGCUCCAUAAUAAGUUGUCAAGCAGAUAUUUUCUAUGUUAUUUAAACGAGUUUAUCUUGCCUGUUCCCUCUGUCCAUCUCCUUUCCCCAUACACACAGGAGACAGCAGAGUUUUCACCCACCCACAUCCUGCUUCUAAUUGGGUCUGACCCAGAUGGCAACGAGUACUAGCCAGAGCUGGGCAAUCGGUUUUUUUCUGUUUAGGAAAACGUUAGUGAGUGACGUUUGAAUGAAAAUACACGCGAGUCGCGACUGAUGGUGACUGGACUGUAGGAGAGUUUUUGGAGGAACAAAUGCCCGGGACAAAGUGGGCGAAAUACGGGAAGAAAUAUAACAAAUACUUGGAGAAAGAGAAAGGAAUAAAAGAAUGGAUUAAACCCGUCGUGGGGGACGACUCAAAAGCACUGUGCAGAGUAUUGCUCUUCGCCGCCGUGAGUAUGCAAAGAUCUACAGCCUCAUCAAUCCUGGUGAAAUCCCUUUGAUGCUUGUACAGAUGUCAGGUACAUGGUAGCUUUCCAUCCAUGAUUGCUGUUUGCGCAUACUCAAUCAGUGGGAAGAACUGAAGCUUCACUUUCAGCUAACCAAAGACCACCAGAGAUGUUAUGAUGCUGAAAUCCUGCACCAGAUGUACAGUGAUCCUGUUAAUUAACUGUACCUGCUGUUUUUAAUGCCUUUUCUAUAAGAAUUCAACAGGAUCAACAAGCUGUCCCAGCAGGACAGGGGCAAUCCAUUCAAAAUGCUGGAGUGUCUGCUUCUUUUCUUUCGCUCCCUUCAUCUCCAGAGUGGUGAGACCUGGAAUGAUCCCCACAUCAGAUGAACAACUGCUUGCAAUCGACAUAACAGACCCCAGUGUUUUGUCACUUGUGGGUGCAGUCAGUUAUGGGGUCACCUUAAUGAUGGCAUUGGAUGAGGCAAAAAUGGAGAGCACGGCUGAGAGAAAUAUGAAGAGUAGGUGCCGUGACUUCUUGGUGGAAGCGGGCAGACAAGUGCAACAGAGACUCUAUGACUGUGUUCAGUCCGACUGUCAUCCUGUCACAAACAAAACCACAGCUCAGCUCAGUCUUAAUGCUGAAGCUCUACUCUGGUGAUCUUGCAGCUUUUGAAACACAGUAUCAGGCUGUUGCAUAUAUCCCAUGGACAAACAUGGAGGACAGCCAGGCAGAGGCCUUUUGGGUUGAAGUGCUCAAUUACAAAGAGAGCAGUGGAGACCCCACUUUAAAAAAAACUUGCCCUCUUUUCUCUGUCAUUGCUUGCAAUGCCUUUGAUCAAUACUGACGUACAGUGUUCUCACAGAUGAGCCUGGUCAAGUCCAAACUGAGGAACAGAAUGGGACAAGAAACUCUCAGCAGCAAAUUCCACAUAAAAUAAGGACUGAGAAGACAAGGCAUAUGCUGCAAGGACUUUGCCUCAAGCAAGGAGACGUUCCAGUGCUUCAAUAGUCGCAUGUAGUCUGUGAGUGGAGCACCAGAGAGCAGGGACACGGAUGCAGAUGAAGACAGUGAAGAUGGAUUUAAAGCACAAGCUCUGGCCUCUACACAUGAAGGAAACAGCAGUGGAGGUAUGAAGACACACCUGAAGACAGUACAAGUCCAUGUUCUACAGAGAUUGAAACUGCCUACUCUGUACCUGUCCUGUGGCGUCUUAAGCUCAUAUGCCACUUUGACAUUUGACUUUGAUUGGCCCUCUUUGGGUCACCACACUCUCCUCAACUAAACAAGAGGAUAGUUACAUUCUCAUUUCACACACAUUUUUUUUAAUGUUUUGUUUUUAUUAUUUAUAUGGUUUUAUUAUGUUCUUGUUUGGAUGUAGGCCAUCAAGAACGUCUGAAUGUAGAACUAAAACAUGUUGAAUGUUUCAGGAUAUUGAAGAUAUUUUCAGAUAUUUCAUAGAUUCUGUUCAGACAAAUUGUUAUUAAAUGUUUAAUUUGCACCUUGGUACCUGAAGCAACUUGAAAGAUAAUGGUGGUGUUAUUCUUCAUAUAUAUGAGGCUAAAGUGUUAUGAUUCUUAAAAAUGUUUUAGACCAAGCCUCAUCCUCACCUGUUCAAAUGGUUUUGACUGGAAUGGUUUUUAAACCAGUUUAGUUUAUUUAAAUCUUUUCUAACUCACUCUUAUGUUUAUCAGAGCAGGAGCCACUUUAUUGCUGCACACUAAGAUUAUCAAUAAUUACUUCUGUUUCUGGGUUAUAGUUAUU